rnacentral:rRNA from 1 species
AACGAACGCUGGCGGCAUGCCUAACACAUGCAAGUCGAACGAGACCUUCGGGUCUAGUGGCGCACGGGUGCGUAACGCGUGGGAACCUGCCCUUAGGUUCGGAAUAACUCCCCGAAAGGGGUGCUAAUACCGGAUAAUGUCUUCGGACCAAAGAUUUAUCGCCUUUGGAUGGGCCCGCGUUGGAUUAGCUAGUUGGUAGGGUAAAAGCCUACCAAGGCGACGAUCCAUAGCUGGUCUGAGAGGAUGAUCAGCCACACUGGGACUGAGACACGGCCCAGACGCCUCCGGGAGGCAGUAGUGUUUGAUAUUGGACAAUGCGCGAAAUCCUGAUCCAGCAAUGCCGCGUUAGUGAUGAAGGCCUUAGGGUUGUAAAGCUCUUUUACCCGGUAUGAUAAUGACAGUACCGAGAGAAUAAGCCCCGGCUAACUCCGUG